GGGGUACAUGUGACCUCCUCACCUCCUCGGUUGUUAGGAGGUGCAAAAGUCAGAGACGGAGAGCACGACCCACUGAGGUGAAGCGGAGAGCUCAGGAGGGAGCAGCCGAGACCAAGGCAGGACCUACCCACACGUGGCUCUAGCCAUGACGGGGAAGAUGCAGGAAGCAUGGACAGUGCUGCACUCCAAGAACAGGGCCUCCACCAGCAGCCUUCCCGAAGAUUCCUGGGGCUGCCCUGUGAGGGGGCAGCAGAGCCACCUAAGGGACCUCUGCGUAGACUAACCUCCUCCAGGAAGUCUUUCUCUCCCCUUCCUCCUUCCCUCCCCUGGGCCAGCCCAUAGACUGGCAGUGCCUGGCACACCGUGGGUGCUCCAUCAAAGUGACUGAAUGGAUGAAUCAAGCAGUAACACCCAAUCCUGAUCCUAUAAAACCCCCUUACUACUCGUUAAACGUCUUCUCUGUGGCACAUAACUAAGAGGGAUACGUAUCCACGUAGAUACGAGGGAUUCCGCGGUGGCACCCCCACGCCUCUAGCUCUCCUACGACAAGCCCACUGCUCUUCCCUUCCUGCCGCGGCGGCAGCAGCGUGAAGGGCUUGAGCUAAGACUAAACGGCAAAGGUGCCGGGUCUGUCUGCCCACUUUCAGCUCUGGAAGGCGCACUGCACGAAAAUGCAGGCUGAGAAAAAGGAAUUACUUUUUAUUCUCUGGUCCCUCUGUCACUUUCUUUUGGUCUUUAUUUAAAAACAAACUGCCUAUAAAUACAUCUCACUGAUUUUAUUUCUAGGUAGCAUUUCGGAAUAAAACUUCCAAAUUUUCAUUUCUAAAUUCAGCCAAAGGUUUUAUUUUUCAUCUCCUCAGGCAAUUUUGUAGGCAAAUUAAAUAUGCUCAUAUUUUAGCGAAGAAGUUUUACAGUUUCUUUCAUUAAAAGCAAGUUGUUUUUUUGAACCCAGAGAAUUGUAGUGUCCUAACUGCCAGGCACUGACAUUGCUCUGGCCAGCACUAUUUUAACUGGAAAUUAUACGAGCAUGGGUGAUGUAUGUUUUGUUGGGUAAGAAACCUAACCUAAAAAAUUUGGCUUCACUUACAGUUUAAAAUAGACUUUUUCCUUAGGCAGAUCAAAGAUACCUAGCACUCAGCUGUGUUCAAAGGUUGCCAGGGAGCUCCUGCCUGCCAACAGCAAGGACAAAGGGACGGGUGCUGGCUGCCUGUUCAUCUGCGCGAGUCCUGCUGGCAAUUAAAGGGGGGACGCGCUGAUCCCCAGGAAAGGCCGUGGAGGAGAGUGGAGUCGACGGAGUGAAAGGUACCCUCAGUGCUCUGCUGCCGGGAGAGCUUCUUGCUUUUGUUCUCCCCACGGCUGGGCUGGAAAACCUUUAAAGCCAAAGCGAGUGCUCACACCCUUUCCUCGUCCUGAGCAGGGAGGAAGCCCACACAGAGUAGGCCGAGCACCCGUGAUGCAUCGAAGCGCUUUCAUGUCAACUGUGAGUAACAACCUCCUUUUACAAAGCAGCAGCUGAGGUGGAGGGCGUGGUGAGCCUGGACCGGGUUCUGGCUUCCCCCCGAGGUGACACCAGGGCAAUCCUCUGUGAGAAGUGAAGGACCGGGAGAGGACAGGCAGACGGCCCAGAGGGCUUUUCAUUCCUUCAGCAAAAGUGUGUUUCCCGGAUCCUUGGCAGAUACUGGACUGGGCACCAAAAACCGACAUGCAAACCACCUCUGCCCUCAGGUGACAUUUUAGAUCACAGUAACAUGUAUGGUGAAUGAAGUAGUGUAUGCAACGUGUCCUGCACCCCAAGUGCCAUUGACAGAUGAAUGGAUAAACAAACUGGUACGUCUAUACAAUGGAGUAUUAUUCAGCCUUAAAAAGGAAGGAAAUCCUGUCACAUGCUACAACACGGAAGAACCUUGAGGACAUUAUGCCAAGUGAAUAAGCCAGUCACAAAAGGACAAAUCCUGUAAGAUUCCGCUUACAUGAGGUUUCUAGAGUGGUCAGAAUCAUCGAGACAGGAAGCAGAGUGUGGGCUAUCAAGAGGAGACACAGAAAUCACAGUGCACGACAGAAGAAUGGAGCACAGAAGAAAAGACUGAUGAAAGGAGUUUCCCAACCCACCAGAAUUAGGAGCAGGGAAAGGUCCAAAGACGUGAACAACAAUAACAAGAGAAGGUUCACCCUAACGCACAGUCUAUGACAGCUGCCACUGGGGGCCACCACAGAAUGGAAUAAAAAAUGGUUGUUUAAAAUCCUGCUUCCAUCCCCAUUAGUCAGGAAGAAGACACAUACGCCCACUCGCACCACCACACAGAAGAUCUUACUGGAAGUUUCAGUCAACUCAAGAGAAAGAUACAAGAGGGAUAACAACCAGAAACAGAGAGGCGAGAUACCUUAUCUGCAGGUAAUCUGCUUCGAGACCUGGACACCCAAAGAACAAAGUGAAAAACUGCUGCAAACAACAGGAUGACCCAGGAAGCAGGACGUGAAAGACAGAGAUGAGCAGCCUUCAUAGCAACCACCAACAACUAUGCAGGAGACAUAAUGGCAGAGGAGACCCCAUUUACAACAGCAGCGCUAAGAGAAUAUCUGGGCAUAAACAGAAAUGUGCAAAACCCACAGGAGGGAAACUCAUAAACACCCCUAAGGAAAUGAAAGUGGCCUUAAACACAAAGUCGGAGCAGCCUCUUAGCUAAGAGGACGCAAACAACCUAGAGUUGCCAAUCCCCCCUGGGUAUUUUAAAAAUUUGAUGGAAUCCCAAUAAAAACACCAACAGCUUUUUCUGCAAUGAAAUGAGCCAAUUCAAAGUUCCUACUGUUUGUAACCACCAAUAUUGUUGUUGUGAAUUGUUUUAACAGGAUAUAGCAAUAAUUAUGUCAAUGAUGUUAGAAAUCAAGAUUUUCAGUGUAAGACAGAGAUAAAACUGAAAAAUAAAGAAACAAGUGAAAACACCAUAACGAUAAGUUGAAUUGAAAAUACCAAUACUGACAAAUAAAAAUGGCAAGUAGUAGGAUAUGUUGGAGAAUAUGAGGAAGCCAUUUGGUGUAAACCUAGUUCGGCCUGACCUUGUCUUUCCA